rnacentral:tRNA from 1 species
GGGUGGGUGGAUCAGUCGUUAGAGCCUAGGGCUUGAGACCGAAGGGUUGCGAGUUCGAAUCUCGCAAGACGCA